UUACUUACCUGGCAGGGGCAACACCAUGAUCAAGAAGGUGGUUUGCCCAAAGUGAGGCCCAGACAUUGCAUGCUGACCUUUGUGAAUUCCUCAAAUGCAGGAAUCUCAACUGCAUAAUUUUGGGUGGCACACAGUCGCCUCACAGCAAGAAGGUUCUGGGUU